AUUGAACGCUGGCGGCAGGCCUAACCCAUGCACGUCGAGCGGAGCGGCGGACGGGUGAGUAAUACCUAGGAAUCUGCCUGGUAGUGGGGGAUAAAGUCAGGAAACGGGAACUAAUACCGAUGACUCUCAGACGCGCCUAGGUGGGAUUAGCUAGUUGGUGGGGUAAAGGCCUACUAAGGCGACGAUCCGUAACUGGGCCGAGAGGAUGAGCAGUAACACUGGAACUGAGACACGGGCCAGACUCCUACGGGAGGCAGCAGUGGGGAAUAUUGGACAAUGGGCGAAAGCCUGAUCCAGCCAUGCCGCGUGUAUGAAGAAGGUCUUCGGAUUGUAAAGCACUUUAAGUUGGGAGGCGUUACCAGCAGAAUAAGCACCGGCUAACUUCGUGCCAGCAGCCGCGGUAAUUC
rnacentral:rRNA from 1 species